rnacentral:miRNA from 1 species
CCUAAAAAUGUCAUUGAGUGCAGCGUUGAUGAUAUCUGUUUUCAACAAAUGUGAUUUUAUCUACGCUGCACUCAAUAAUGUUUUAA